UCGAUAUUGUUUCUUACAAAAUACUUCAUCAACGUUUGGUCAACCUUCUAUCUAUACCAAGCUGACUUUAAUCUGGACAUGGUUGCAUCAUUUGCAUGUUAUUUCUAUUUCUUUAACUAUUAAAAGAGUGAAUUUCGUGAAUUUAAUUUUAACAAAUGUGAUAAUGUUUAAUCUCCACAUGGUUCUUAUAGAAAUUCUAAGUCUCAUUCUGUUUUUGCUUCCGUUGAUAGCCUAUGUCUUAAACCAUAGUAAGUUGAAGGUUUGAACCUAAUUACUUGAAGAGAUUUUAUUCCAAUUCUUUAUUUCGGAAUAAUUUCAUCAAUUUAUUAAUUCAGUUAUGCCUAGCUAUAUAUACGUCUUCAAUUAUAAGAGUAUCUGUUGGUACUAUAAUUAUUAGUUAAUUACUAAAAGAAGCUAUGUCUAUGUGCCUGCCGUUGGAUGGAACACACAACAUAGUUUAUAAGCAAAUUAUCGAGUCAAAUGAUAGAUCACAUAGUCAAAUUGAUAAAAGAUUUGGGAGGAUAUGAUACGUACGAGAAACAAUUUGUUUUUAUUUAUAUAUGUGUUUGCGCA
rnacentral:lncRNA from 1 species